rnacentral:lncRNA from 1 species
CCUUCCAGUUGUGGCAUGUGGGACGCUGCCUCAGUGUGGUCUGAUGAGUAGUGCCAUGUCUGCGCCCAGGAUUCGAACCAACGAAACACUGGGCCGCCUGCAGCGGAGCGCGCGAACUUAACCACUCGGCCACGGGGCCAGCCCCUAUUUGCCACUUUUAUAAACACUUGUCAUAUUGCAACAUAACUGUUUAUUUCCAAGCCUCCUCUGCAACAAUGUAAAUUGCUUAAAAACAGGGAAUGUGUCCAAAUUCACCUUUUCAUUCCUGUUAUCUAUCAUACAAUUGGUUCUCCAAUAAAUAUUUGUUGAAUAAACAAGGGAAAAAUUUAUAAAUUACAAUGCAAUAAAUUCCAUUAUUCAUUAGGCCACACAGAUGUUGGUCUUUUGCAAUUAUUUCAAAGGAGGCCAGCCCUAGGUUUACAUAAAGGGGGAAUGGAACGGCAGCAUAACUCUGUAUCUUACGUGAGUGAAAUGCUCUGCUUCACAAUAAUGGUAUGAGGCCAGUUGGAAAAGCCGUGAGGUGGGAUGGCUCCACAUGUUUUCUACCCAGUGUCCCCAGCUGUGCAUCCACAGGAUGAAUGACUGGACUCCGAUUAGACUGUACUGUAGCCCAGAGUCUAAGCUCGUGGACCAAAACAGUAGGUAGGGUCUGGCUGACUAUUCGUAGUUCUACCCCAAUGUGUAUCUCUUCUCUCAAAUCAUAAAGAAUAUUUACUCAGGCUACCAAAGCAAGGGCUGCCAACUGCUGCAACUGCAUAACUUCUGUUUCUGCUCGUUAGAAAGAUAGAAUCUAGAUGGUAGCACUACCAAGUCCCAGGCACAUCAUGCUUCUGCACGCUGCUUACGGAGAAGUGACAAACCAACAUUCACAUGGACCACACAGCCAGGAAUGCAGCUGCAUCCUGGAAAUGAAGAUGUGCACGCUCCAGCGAGGGGCGCUGCAGCCAUGGGAGUGCUGGGGGUGGGGGGGCCCUUCUCCCCUCCACCUUCUGGGAAAACGUGUUUCCUAGAUGAUAGAGAAUGCAGAGAAAUAUAUGUUAAAUAUUGAACUUUAAAGGCAAUUUCACAAAAACCAUUCAAAACCACGACCUGAUUUCAAAUCUUUCAAAUAUUGUCCU